rnacentral:rRNA from 1 species
AGCAGCCGCGGUAGUUCCAGCUCCAAUAGCGUAUAUUAAAGUUGUUGCAGUUAAAAAGCUCGUAGUUGAAUUUCGGGAUCAAGGAAUCGGUCAUGCCUUGGUAUGUACUGGUUUUAUUGGUUCUCACCUUCUAAAGAACCAUGAUGUCAUUCAUUUGAUGUUAUGGGGAAUUAGGGCUGUUACUUUGAAAAAAUUAGAGUGUUUAAAGCAGGCUCACGCUUGAAUACAAUAGCAUGGAAUAAUGAAAUAGGACGUUUGAUUCUAUUUUGUUGGUUUCUAGGAUCGACGUAAUGAUUAAUAGGGAUAGUCGGGGGCAUUAGUAUUCAAUUGUCAGAGGUGAAAUUCUUGGAUUUAUUGAAGACUAACUACUGCGAAAGCAUUUGCCAAGGAUGUUUUCAUUAAUCAAGAACGAAAGUUAGGGGAUCGAAGACGAUCAGAUACCGUCGUAGUCUUAACCAUAAACUAUGCCGACUAGGGAUCGGAUGAU